rnacentral:rRNA from 2 species
CCUGGCUCAGGAUGAACGCUAGCUACAGGCUUAACACAUGCAAGUCGAGGGGCAGCAUGGUCUUAGCUUGCUAAGGCUGAUGGCGACCGGCGCACGGGUGAGUAACACGUAUCCAACCUGCCGUCUACUCUUGGCCAGCCUUCUGAAAGGAAGAUUAAUCCAGGAUGGCAUCAUGAGUUCACAUGUCCGCAUGAUUAAAGGUAUUUUCCGGUAGACGAUGGGGAUGCGUUCCAUUAGAUAGUAGGCGGGGUAACGGCCCACCUAGUCAACGAUGGAUAGGGGUUCUGAGAGGAAGGUCCCCCACAUUGGAACUGAGACACGGUCCAAACUCCUACGGGAGGCAGCAGUGAGGAAUAUUGGUCAAUGGGCGAUGGCCUGAACCAGCCAAGUAGCGUGAAGGAUGACUGCCCUAUGGGUUGUAAACUUCUUUUAUAAAGGAAUAAAGUCGGGUAUGCAUACCCGUUUGCAUGUACUUUAUGAAUAAGGAUCGGCUAACUCCGUGCCA